CCUACGGGUGGCAGCAGUGAGGAAUAUUGGUCAAUGGCCGGAAGGCUGAACCAGCCAAGCCGCGUGAAGGACGAAGGUCCCAAGCAUUGUAAACUUCUUUUGUCAGGGGACAAAAGCAGCCUCGAGUGCCUGACCGAGGGUACUUGAAGAACAAGCACCGGCUAACUCCGUGCCAGCAGCCGCGGUAAUACGGAGGGUGCGGGCGUUAUCCGGAUUUGUUGGGUUUAAAGGGUGGGUAGGCGGGGCGUUAAGUCUGCGGUGAAAUUCCGGGGGUCAACCAGGAGAGGGCGGUGGAAACUGGCUGUCUUGAGAUGUGGAGAGGGAUGCGGAAUGCGAGGUGUAGCGGUGAAAUGCUUAGAUA
rnacentral:rRNA from 1 species